GCCGGAUCAGCUCCGACGCCGCGACGGCGUCUUGCUGCGGCUGCUGCUUCUGCUGGUGGUGGUGGAGCAGCUGCUGCGGGUGGUCAGGCGACUGAGGCGCCGCCGCCGGGGCAGCGGGCCUCGGCGGCGACGGCGGCUUCGCGGCGGCGUUCUUGGCGUCGUGCGGCUGCUGCUGCGACGACGGCGCCGGCGGGGGCUGGCCGUGGUUGUGCUCGCCCUCGUACGUGGCCACGAGGAUGGUAUUGUCGUCGGCGCUCCGCUGCACCUUCUUCUUGACGGGGCACGCCGGCGCGAAGGAGCACCGGAAGUAGGCCCGCGGGCAGGGGUUGUCCUUGGUCACCUUCUGCCCGUACUUGCGCCACUGGUAGCCGUCCUUCACCACCAGGCUCAGGUCCGACGGGUCCGCGUGCACGUACAGCUUCGACACCUUGGGCUUGCACUCCUCCCGGAUGCGCUUGCACGGCUCGCCGGAGGUGCACUCCAUCUGGUCUGCCAGGCCCGGCUGCUGCUGGCCGCCGUGCUGCAGGCCGUGCUGCGGCGGGUGCUGCGCCUGCGCGCCCGGCGCCGCCGCGGUGUCGAGGCUCUCGCUCGUCUUGCGCUUCCUGGACGGGGAGACCGACCCGCCCUCCGACGUGGACGACGGGUUGUUGGUCACGCCGGCGGCGACCAUCCCCGUGUACUGGCUCCGCAGCGCCUCGUACUUGGCCGCCACCGCCGUGAGCGCCUCG
rnacentral:lncRNA from 1 species